rnacentral:misc_RNA from 1 species
CCCCCCCCCCCCCCCCCCCCCCCCCCCCCCCCCCCCCCCCCCCCCCCCCCCCCCCCCCCCCCCCCCCCCCCCCCCCCCCC